UGCCAGCCGCCGCGGUAACACGGGGGGCGCAAGCGUUGUUCGGAAUCACUGGGCGUAAAGCGCACGUAGGCGGACUUUUAAGUCAGGGGUGAAAUCCCGGAGCUCAACUCCGGAACUGCCUUUGAUACUGGAAGUCUUGAGUCCGAGAGAGGUGAGUGGAACUCCGAGUGUAGAGGUGAAAUUCGUAGAUAUUCGGAGGAACACCAGUGGCGAAGGCGGCUCACUGGCUCGAUACUGACGCUGAGGUGCGAAAGUGUGGGGAGCAAACAGGAUUAGAUA
rnacentral:rRNA from 1 species